rnacentral:rRNA from 1 species
GGGUUGUGAGGUUAAGCGACUAAGCGUACACGGUGGAUGCCCUGGCAGUCAGAGGCGAUGAAGGACGUGCUAAUCUGCGAUAAGCGUCGGUAAGGUGAUAUGAACCGUUAUAACCGGCGAUUUCCGAAUGGGGAAACCCAGUGUGAUUCGUCACACUAUCAUUAACUGAAUCCAUAGGUUAAUGAGGCGAACCGGGGGAACUGAAACAUCUAAGUACCCCGAGGAAAAGAAAUCAACCGAGAUUCCCCCAGUAGCGGCGAGCGAACGGGGAGCAGCCCAGAGCCUGAAUCAGUGUGUGUGUUAGUGGAAGCGUCUGGAAAGGCGCGCGAUACAGGGUGACAGCCCCGUACACAAAAAUGCACAUGCUGUGAGCUCGAUGAGUAGGGCGGGACACGUGGUAUCCUGUCUGAAUAUGGGGGGACCAUCCUCCAAGGCUAAAUACUCCUGACUGACCGAUAGUGAACCAGUACCGUGAGGGAAAGGCGAAAAGAACCCCGGCGAGGGGAGUGAAAAAGAACCUGAAACCGUGUACGUACAAGCAGUGGGAGCCUCUUUUAUGGGGUGACUGCGUACCUUUUGUAUAAUGGGUCAGCGACUUAUAUUCUGUAGCAAGGUUAACCGAAUAGGGGAGCCGAAGGGAAACCGAGUCUUAACUGGGCGUUAAGUUGCAGGGUAUAGACCCGAAACCCGGUGAUCUAGCCAUGGGCAGGUUGAAGGUUGGGUAACACUAACUGGAGGACCGAACCGACUAAUGUUGAAAAAUUAGCGGAUGACUUGUGGCUGGGGGUGAAAGGCCAAUCAAACCGGGAGAUAGCUGGUUCUCCCCGAAAGCUAUUUAGGUAGCGCCUCGUGAAUUCAUCUCCGGGGGUAGAGCACUGUUUCGGCAAGGGGGUCAUCCCGACUUACCAACCCGAUGCAAACUGCGAAUACCGGAGAAUGUUAUCACGGGAGACACACGGCGGGUGCUAACGUCCGUCGUGAAGAGGGAAACAACCCAGACCGCCAGCUAAGGUCCCAAAGUCAUGGUUAAGUGGGAAACGAUGUGGGAAGGCCCAGACAGCCAGGAUGUUGGCUUAGAAGCAGCCAUCAUUUAAAGAAAGCGUAAUAGCUCACUGGUCGAGUCGGCCUGCGCGGAAGAUGUAACGGGGCUAAACCAUGCACCGAAGCUGCGGCAGCGACACUAUGUGUUGUUGGGUAGGGGAGCGUUCUGUAAGCCUGUGAAGGUGUACUGUGAGGUAUGCUGGAGGUAUCAGAAGUGCGAAUGCUGACAUAAGUAACGAUAAAGCGGGUGAAAAGCCCGCUCGCCGGAAGACCAAGGGUUCCUGUCCAACGUUAAUCGGGGCAGGGUGAGUCGACCCCUAAGGCGAGGCCGAAAGGCGUAGUCGAUGGGAAACAGGUUAAUAUUCCUGUACUUGGUGUUACUGCGAAGGGGGGACGGAGAAGGCUAUGUUGGCCGGGCGACGGUUGUCCCGGUUUAAGCGUGUAGGCUGGUUUUCCAGGCAAAUCCGGAAAAUCAAGGCUGAGGCGUGAUGACGAGGCACUACGGUGCUGAAGCAACAAAUGCCCUGCUUCCAGGAAAAGCCUCUAAGCAUCAGGUAACAUCAAAUCGUACCCCAAACCGACACAGGUGGUCAGGUAGAGAAUACCAAGGCGCUUGAGAGAACUCGGGUGAAGGAACUAGGCAAAAUGGUGCCGUAACUUCGGGAGAAGGCACGCUGAUAUGUAGGUGAAGUCCCUCGCGGAUGGAGCUGAAAUCAGUCGAAGAUACCAGCUGGCUGCAACUGUUUAUUAAAAACACAGCACUGUGCAAACACGAAAGUGGACGUAUACGGUGUGACGCCUGCCCGGUGCCGGAAGGUUAAUUGAUGGGGUCAGCGCAAGCGAAGCUCUUGAUCGAAGCCCCGGUAAACGGCGGCCGUAACUAUAACGGUCCUAAGGUAGCGAAAUUCCUUGUCGGGUAAGUUCCGACCUGCACGAAUGGCGUAAUGAUGGCCAGGCUGUCUCCACCCGAGACUCAGUGAAAUUGAACUCGCUGUGAAGAUGCAGUGUACCCGCGGCAAGACGGAAAGACCCCGUGAACCUUUACUAUAGCUUGACACUGAACAUUGAGCCUUGAUGUGUAGGAUAGGUGGGAGGCUUAGAAGUGUGGACGCCAGUCUGCAUGGAGCCGACCUUGAAAUACCACCCUUUAAUGUUUGAUGUUCUAACGUUGACCCGUGAUCCGGGUUGCGGACAGUGUCUGGUGGGUAGUUUGACUGGGGCGGUCUCCUCCUAAAGAGUAACGGAGGAGCACGAAGGUUGGCUAAUCCUGGUCGGACAUCAGGAGGUUAGUGCAAUGGCAUAAGCCAGCUUGACUGCGAGCGUGACGGCGCGAGCAGGUGCGAAAGCAGGUCAUAGUGAUCCGGUGGUUCUGAAUGGAAGGGCCAUCGCUCAACGGAUAAAAGGUACUCCGGGGAUAACAGGCUGAUACCGCCCAAGAGUUCAUAUCGACGGCGGUGUUUGGCACCUCGAUGUCGGCUCAUCACAUCCUGGGGCUGAAGUAGGUCCCAAGGGUAUGGCUGUUCGCCAUUUAAAGUGGUACGCGAGCUGGGUUUAGAACGUCGUGAGACAGUUCGGUCCCUAUCUGCCGUGGGCGCUGGAGAACUGAGGGGGGCUGCUCCUAGUACGAGAGGACCGGAGUGGACGCAUCACUGGUGUUCGGGUUGUCAUGCCAAUGGCACUGCCCGGUAGCUAAAUGCGGAAGAGAUAAGUGCUGAAAGCAUCUAAGCACGAAACUUGCCCCGAGAUGAGUUCUCCCUGAGACUAUAAGUCUCCUGAAGGAACGUUGAAGACGACGACGUUGAUAGGCCGGGUGUGUAAGCGCAGCGAUGCGUUGAGCUAACCGGUACUAAUGAACCGUGAGGCUUAACCUUACAACGCCGAAG